UGUUGUCAACAAAUGUACCAGGGUAAAAGGCUUUUCACACUGGGUGAGCUCUAAGAUAGGUCAAAUAAAGAUAUGCUUGCCAGUGGGGUCUUUCAGGAAACCACCACACAGGUCAAAUAAUGACAAUUCUCUGGGGAUGAGGUUUUGAAGCUGCUCCCACCCUGUUUUUGCCCCCUCUAGUGGCUGGCAGGUUUCUAAUUUUCACUGCAAUUGGGGGCUGUUGAUUUACAAGACCACCACAGAGCUGAAGAGCGGGCAUGGUAAAAUGCCACAAAGUUUGCUGUUCUUACUGAGAUUCAGUGUUUUUUCAAGAAUAAAUGUCUACAGAUGGAAUAAAUAGGCUAACCAAAAAGGCUUUUGUUAAUUUCCAGAGUUUUGAAAAUGUUGACUAUGACAAUUUUUGGUGGCUUUCUCCUUGCUUUGAUGGAGGAAAGAGUUUUUGGAGGUUCUUACUCUGCCUUUUCCACUCAUGUCACUCGAUAGCUAUCAUGAACCCUACCAGAUCAGCUAGGAUUAGAUCCCUUUACAUGUGACAAAAAAACCCUGAAGUAACAGUGGCUUAAAUAAGAGUUGUAUUCUCUCACACUAGAAAUCUAAAAGUACGUUCAAAAAGUUCAGAAUGUUCAAGGACAGCAGCUUCUUUUAGCUUUGGAUUCUGCCAUCCCUAGAGUGUGGCCCACAUCUUCAUGGUCUAAGAUAACAGCUAGGGCUCCAGCUAUCAAAUCUGCAUUCCAGGAAGCAAGAUGGAAGAAGAGGUGAAGAAGAGCAUACACCCUUCCUUUAACAACCCUUCCCAGAAAUUGCACGUGAUAUUUCAGAACAUAGUCAAACAGCCACGCCUAGCUAUGUGGGAGGUUGAAAAAUAUGGUCAUUAUUAGGAGGUCGUGUGUCCAGCUAAAAACCAAGGGUUUGUUACUAAGGAAGGACAGAAACUAGCUGUCUCUGCCACACGCAUUUGACAGGUGAAGAAGCUGAGGUUUAGAGAAGUUCAGUAAUUUACCCAGGGACACCCAGGCACUAUGUAGGUGAUAGGAUUCAAAUCCGGUUGUCUGACCCUCAAGCCUGUACUUUUAACCGCUUUGCCAUUCAGAUUCCAAGAAGUUAAAUAACUUGAUGAGGUCACAUAGUUGGCAAGAGCAGAUCUAUCUGGCCACAAAGAUCACCCUUUGUCUGUUAUUUACCCCAAACCAUCUAUUUUACUCUAGUGGGCCACCUGGAAGAGUGACAAAAAACAGACUUCACUGUUCAAGCUGAAAAUGCCCAGUAGAGGUCCAUUAAGAUAGCUAAAUAAAGUGCCUCGAGGGUCCUUCAAACACAGGACAACAAUGAGCACCUGAAGGACAGCAAAUGAACCAAGAGCACAGAUCAUCAGAAACAGAGCCAUUAGGAAGCAAACGCUGUGGGACUUGCUUGCUUUCUGAAGUGGAAUGAAGGGGCCAGUGAGGCACAGGCUGUGAAUUGCCGUUGUUCUGAAAUCAGUGCUGAAAGUUGUGAUCUCGAACAGAACGCUAGGUACUUUCUGUUUUGUUUUUCCCACUGAUCUCCUGGACUGCCAGCCCUCUGCGACCAAUCGCCAUUCCAGAAUGAUGAUCGGCAAGCUGCCUCCUGGAUUCCUCUACUCUGUGCAACCCAGGACCCACCCCAGCUUUCAGGCCGUCGUACUUGCACGUGGGGGAAAAGGGGGUGAGAGGGGAGACUCAGCAUCUUGGCUCCUAUUUGUCUGGGAGGGAAAUCUGACAUUUUUAGUAGACAAUUAAAAUGCUUACUUUGAAGAAAGUAGAGACCCGGUUGCCUGGACACAGUCAGGAAUACAUACCAUUGAAUCUGCGGGUGACCUAUAGUUGCUUUGUCCCUAUUUGAGUAUCCAAAGUGUUAAGGGGAAAAUGAGACAGCUCUAAAAAAUAACUCUUGUGCUUUCUCUGCUGGUCCUCUGGGUGUGCGUGUGUAUGCAUCACACGCCCACACAUAUGCACGUAAUAAAUGGCUUAGUGUAAAAACCCUGCGACACACAUCAAUUCUGUAGAUUACCAGGGAGUCCUAACUAGGGUCGCUAGCAAAGCAACUUCUAUAAAGACUAUAAAUAGUAGGCACGUGCCUCUGUAAGCAGUGCAGCUAUUUAUUUUAUUUAAUAGGAGAUUCUCUUGUUACAAGGACAUCACAGAUUACUGAAUAAUUUAUUUCAUAGUAGAUUAUAUGGGCUUCACUCUUUGCCAGUGAACGCAUACCCAAAUGUCUACAGGAGAUAAGGUGAGCAAAAGUUAGACCUCAGGCUUGGGUGAGCUAUUUAUUUUUUUAUUUGAUUUGUAUUAUCUGUUAUAGUCAUAUAUACAAAUUUUACUUAAUGUUAUCUCAGCUGCAAAGGUCAUAUAUACAAUAGAGGCACCACUUUAUUAUCGACAUUUAGCUAACUCAAAGUAAUGCAUACGAUGACACAGCGCUGAGAAAUAGAGAAUAGAAUAAUAAAUGACCUUGUUAUACACGGUGAUUUUAACACAGGACUGUGAUAAAUAGGGGCAUGUUUGUUCUCUAUGAAAAUAUAGGGAACCAAGAGAGGGCAAAAUUCGAUAAAGAUGUUAGAUUUGGAAAAUGGAGUCAAGAAAAAAGAUUUGAAUGGGUAUUUUUCUGUGACGCUCUAUCAUAAUCUUUUCAAUGAUUUGGAUUUGAAAAACAAUCCCUUCUAAGCUUACAAAGCCUAAACAGUUUGCCUUUACUGUGUACAGGUCUCAGGUGAGCAGAAGCACCUUGGAAGACGGGCACAUUUUUCUUCCAAAUGUAAUUUUGAUAGAGAUAAAAUUUACUUUCAAAGAAAAUUUAAUUUUGACGAUAGAAGGAUGGCAAAAUGCCUGAAGACAGCCACAUAACGUAAGAGGAAAUUCAUGUGGCCACUAACUGUGGUCCUGGUCUGCCAUCUACACGUAGUGCCUUUGCUCUGCAGAGACCUGAUGCCUGAUGUGUGUAGCUGGUCUCUGGAGGGAACGUGCCCCGAAGUGAUUCCCAGAGGAGCCGAUAUCUCUUCCAGAAUAAACCACCAGAAACAAUAUUUGAACAGAAAUGUUAAUGCGAGCUUCAAACAGAUUAGAGUGGUUUCCCACAUCUGAGGAGGCUGGAUCCAUUGCUAAGUUGACCUACGGCCCAUGUAGUUGUGUUUGUCUGUGUGCCUGUAAGAGCUGCUGGGGGGCAUCUCUCCCUUGCUCUCUAUCCUCAUGUAAUUCUCAUAUUUGUUCAUAAAGAUCCUGCUGUAUGUUCCUGGGUCCCGUCUCAUCUCCCCCAUCAGAUGUUUAACUCCCUGUGGACAGAGCCUUCCGUGUCCUUUGUUGUCGCUGGUACACGCCCAGCAUGCUCAGCACCGUGGCCUGCUCUGCGGCAGUCGACACAGUCCAUGAGCUAUGGAAAAACACCGCGUUGAAAAAUAGGCCUGGUGGGAUACGGGCAACAGUUUCCUAAACAUUACCUACCAUCCUCUCAGCCCAUCCUCGUGUUCACCUGUUAUUCUAGUGACCAGAAUCCCGUCACAACCAGCCUCUCGGUUCUGGAAGACUUUAAAAUCUAUAGCUUUCUCCAGACAAGAGAAUAGCCCUCAAUUUCCAGGACCAAAAAAGGAAUGUGCUCCCACUCAGCGGGUCUGGGCCGGCUGCCUGAGGUGGAGAUGGGGCAGGGGUUCCAAGCACUCCUCAGUCUCCACCCCGGCUAGCCUCCCUCCCGCCUCCCACUCACACAGGGUCACGGAGAAGGCUGUGCACAAGCCUUUGUCCAUCCCUGACAACCACUGAUACAAGGCAGCGACUGGAUGCCUCACAUCCUGCCUGGAACACCACCCUUUCUUCCUCCCACCCCUUUCUAAAAAAUAAAUAAAUCCUCUGUGUAAUGUGCAGUCUUUCAAAGACACAAUGGGGCACCAUGCCUUUAGCACAAUACAGGUGCCCCUGGCAUCUGGCAAAUAGGGCCCUAGUUCCCUGGCCUGGACUUUAGUGUUCUGCUCAGAUCCCACAGCUGAGAGGAGGCUGGAGCUGGUGGGGGGCACUAACAAGCCUGAGGGGCGCAGGCAUCUCCACUUGGCACUUGCAGCCCACAGAUCUCCUCUCCACAUGGGCUCUUCGGCUGUCACCCAUCCUCCCGCUUUGGUCUUUGGGGCGGCUAUCCUUCUCCACCUGCCUGGGUCCUGCACACCUCAGGGCCUGCGUGGCUCAAGGCAGCUCGCUUCAAUAGGAAUGCAAACCAUGGCUGAGGAAGAAAGCAAAACUGGAGGCCAGAGAAGCUGAGCGUUGGGUGUAAGGGCUGAGGCCAGACCACAAAAACGAAGGCCCAUUGUGGGGUCAGGGGUUGGAUGGGUGCCGAGCGCAGCAAGUAAUGUUGUAGGAGACCGGUUGGUGGAAACGGUUCUGGUGAGGUCCAUGAGCAAUACCAGGUUGGGGCCUCUUUUAUGGGAUCUGGUGAUGUUUUAGAUGGGGUGGAGCAAAGAAGGAGAUGGGCUUAACAGCAUCAAGAUGACUGGGCAAGACAUGACAAUCCUUCAGGUCCGUUUCAGGCAGAUUUUAAAUCUGUGAUGUUCAGACUUGGUUGUGGGGAGGGAAGGAGCAGUUGUGAUUUUUCCCUGACCUUACCCCAAACAACGAUGACCAGGUGCCCAAUCUAUGACUCUGAAAGGGCAAACCAGACCCCGUCCUAAGCAAAGCCCAGACAAGCCCCCUGCUCAGUGGUGGGGAGUAGGUGAAUGUGGCCCCUCCACGUGGUGUGAGCCAGAACCUAACUUUAGCCUGCGAUGAGUAUAUGCAAAGUGGGUACAGCUGCCCCAUCGCCUCCCCGGGGGCCACUUCCGUUUUACAUCCUGCACCUGUGGGGAUUUGCAUGCCGUUCCUUCCUCCCCUCCCACCCCACACUUUCUGCACUUCUGCCCUGGUGGGUGGGUUCCAUGGAGGGGAGGGACCUCAUGCAGGAGGUCUUUGUUAUGAGUUACAAGGAGGGUGAAGGACAGCGAGACCAUCUCGCCCCUGUGAAUUGGGAUACCAUCAGUUCGUGAGCCUACAGUCCAAUUUGCAGAUGAUCCAGGCUCCUUAUUUCCCCUUCCCCUGGCUGCUGGCCUUUUGUUCUUGUCAUGGUUGAUUAGCUCCCUAAAUAGAGAUUGGACAGAGAAAAUGAAAGGAGAAAAAUGGGGAAAUUAGUAGCUCUGGUAAAAGGUCUGUUGGGGAAGGAAGUUAAAACCAAUUAAUCAACUGAGAUUUCCAUUAUCCCAUACCCUCUCUCCCCCUUCUGGUGCAUAGCCAGGGAUCAGAAUUCAAUGUCGGGUGUAGCCAGGAAAUGCAUUUUACACCCAUUCGCCAAUGAGUUCUCUGGUCUUCAGCUUGAAAGCUAGUCAUCCAGGGGUCAGGAUGCUCCACUGGGGCCUGUGCCACCAGGUGAUACUACGCACAAGACUGGGCUGCAGGCUGAACAACCAGAAGCCCUGACUGUGAAGACAACUGGGCUACUACGAGGAGGAUGUGUGACGUCUCUUUGGCACCAUGGAAAGACACAGGGAUGGGCGGAGGGAGUGGAGAGAGUAGAAGCGGCAAAGAAGUGUCUUCCUAUGUCAUGCUCUGGGGGAACGCCAAAGUCCUGAAGUCUGACCCCAAAGGAUUACCACAUUUUAGAGGAACAUCAAGGAACAGAUCUGAGCAGUGGGAAGAGACGAGAUCGUGAGAGCCUCAAGUGCCCCACUGGCAAGGAGAGUGGAUCUUGCUGCCAGGAAUCUCAGGGCUAGAAUUCUCUGUAGCCGCCUCUCUCCUUUCACCGUAUUUAUUCCUUUUCUUCACUGGACCAUGUCCCUCAAGAAAAAAAUGCAAAGAUGGGCUGCCCAGUUGUAGGAAGGGUGUGUAAGGCCCCACUAAAGUCAAGUGGGCUGUGAACCUACGGGAAAUAUCAAAACUGGUGCAAAAGGAGGAAGCGAAUCUCUUCUGAGGAAGGAGCUGCUAAAUUAAGCUCUGUGGGUUGUGGCAGAAUUAUUGCCCCCAUUUGGAAGCCAAUUUCUACCCUGCCCAUAAUGGGUCCUCCAAACCAUUGGCCCUUCAGGAGGGUCGACCAGCUCUCUCUUAAGGGGUGAUCAUUGAUGUCAUGGGCCUGAAACCACUCUACUAAGUGAAAAUCACACCACCACCAGCUAAGUUCCUACCCAGAAAACGAAGUCUGUCCAAUUUAAUACAACGCCCAUACCCAUAUACCUUUGAUGUACAGCUGGUGACGAUCUGAGAACACAGAGCUACAACUCAUGUCACCCUUGUCAGUUUCAAAACCCACCUGAGUGUCAUGCACUACAGGGAAAGCCCUAGCAGUGUGGGCAGCUGAGAACAGCAUAGGCACCAUAAUUUACCAAACCACCCUCCAAAUCAAGCCCAGUGUUAAAGUCAGCCCAUGACUUUGAGGAAUUGACAUGGUCCCUUCCGAUGAUUCAAUGAUCCCACCACCACCACCUUCUUCCUGAGAUCUCUAGCUCUCCAGGGAGAUCCUGGAGUGGAUGUGUUGUCACUACAUCAGAUUAUCCUUCACCACAUAAAGUACUGAGCAACAGGAGAACCACUGGAAAUAACGGUUUCUCCGAUACAACUCUGAGAAGAGACGGUGUUUUUAUUUCGUAUGGAUCUGGGGUAUGUUCAGAGAAGGAGAGGCAAUGACCUUGUCAUUCUUUGCUGAAACGGAUUUCCCAGAGAGUCAUAUAUCUAAGUGACAAAAUCAGCUGGCACGUGUGGAGCAUCUGCUCCGGAAGACGCUGUGAUCCAGGUGAGUGUGCUGGAGGGCAGCAGGUUAGGGUCUCCUGGUAUAGAGGACUGAGACACAGAAGCGGGUCUGUCUGUCUGU